rnacentral:rRNA from 1 species
GAUUCCCCUAGUAACUGCGAGUGAAGCGGGAAAAGCUCAAAUUUAAAAUCUGGUGGUCUUUGGCCAUCCGAGUUGUAAUCUAGAGAAGUGUUAUCCGCGCUGGACCGUGUACAAGUCCCCUGGAAUGGGGCGUCAUAGAGGGUGAGAAUCCCGUCUUUGACACGGACUACCAGGGCUUUGUGAUGCACUCUCAAAGAGUCGAGUUGUUUGGGAAUGCAGCUCAAAAUGGGUGGUAAAUUCCAUCUAAAGCUAAAUAUUGGCGAGAGACCGAUAGCGAACAAGUACCGUGAGGGAAAGAUGAAAAGAACUUUGGAAAGAGAGUUAAACAGUACGUGAAAUUGUUGAAAGGGAAACGCUUGAAGUCAGUCGCGUCUGCCAGGGAUCAACCUUACUUUUGUGAGGCGUACUUCCUGGUUGAUGGGUCAGCAUCAGUUUUGGUCGCUGGAUAAAGGUCAGAGAAAUGUGGCACCUUCGGGUGUGUUAUAGUCUUUGAUCAGAUACAGUGGCUGGGACUGAGGAACUCAGCGCCGCAAGGCUGUCUUAGGAUGCUGGCAAAAUGGCUUUAAUCGACCCGUCUUGAAACACGGACCAAGGAGUCUAACAUGCCUGCGAGUGUU